rnacentral:miRNA from 1 species
GAUCUUCCAGGGCUAGAGCUG